rnacentral:lncRNA from 1 species
CAGCCACAUUUUCUUUCCCUUUCUAAAGAAAUCAGAGUAAAAAGAACCCUAAAAGCCAUUACCACCAUUCGGCUAAUCCCAAAACUUGAGCAAAUCAACCGCCACCACUGCGAUUCGAUGGAAGAUUAACAUGCGCGCACUUCGACUAGAGUCUUAACUCAAGACCUAUCGAUUUCAGCCCUUAGUAAUCUCAUCCCAAACUUCGAUUUCAGCGAGGGAGACAAGAAUUCCGAUGGCCUAUUUACGACAGUAAACACUUCUCUUCUUUUAUUUUCUUAUAUUCGAGCCACAUGCAAAAUCAAAAGAAAGAAACACACACAUAAAAAAGGAUCGAGAAUCACCUUUCCAAUAAUUUUUAAUUCGAUUUUGUUGUAUUCAAUAAGUAUAUUUCAGUGUGCGUCCCCAUAUAAUGAGAAUGUUUAUGGCUUUAUAGCCAAAAAUAAAAAAGGAAAAAUACAAAGAAUUUAUUUGUUGUUGUUUUUCUCUUUGCUGUGCUGUCCUUUUUGCAUCUGUGCGCAGGUACGAAGGUACGAAGCUCGGUGGUUGUACGGCGUUGUGCUGGAGACGAGGACGAGGGGUUACGGCGCCUAGCAGCUAGGGUUUUCGCCCUUCGGCUGAAGCUUGUUUAAGUUUUGAGCCGUUUGGGCCAGGGGUAUUUUAGGCUACUUGGGUUAAUUGGGUUAGACUUAGUUUAGAAUUUGUAUUGGACUUGUAAUGGCCUGAUGGAAUUUUAUUUAUUUUUUGGUUUCUAUUUUCUGUUUGUGUUUUCAUAUGGGCCCGGGUAGAUUUGGGCAUGUACAAACCGUACAGAAGCCUAGUUUUGUUUAAAACAAACAGUGCUCAAUUUAGAGUUAUAUAUUAAGAGUUAUUAAUUUUUGAAUGAGAAAAGGCCAGAAUGCCAAGGUAGUAGACGGUCACAUCUCAUUAGUUAAUAUUUUAGCUGGAAUGAUAAGCAAGUUGAAAUGAGUAUCAGGUUCGAAUUUCAUGGUUGUAAUUUUGUGAUUAUAUGUUUAAUGCUUUUUUUGCGCUCAGCCUUCGGGCUCUAACCUAAUUAGCGGACAUGAAUGGCACUCGAGAUAAUCCUAUGGACACCUGAGAUUAUUUGAAUAGCGUCCAUGAGUGGUACAGGACUAUCCGGAUACCCGAUUAUUUGAACAGUAUGUGCAAUCUAACAAGUUUGACAAGUUUGAUAUGUAAGUGAUUUGGUUAUUUAGAUUUAAUGACUCAUGAUUUAAUUAUUAGAUACUCAUGUCAUGUUUCUAUGUAUACAUUUGAUUUGCAUGCUUAUAUUUAUGAAUUGCUUGAAAUAUGGUUGAUUUGUUGUGUACCACUGAACCUGUAAAGCUCAGCCUUCAAAUUAUCUUCAUGUUCAGCUGAGGAACAUCAUCGACGAGAGACUUCUAGCAUUACGAAUUCAAAGUACAAUACCUUAUCU